ACAAGAGACAUGGUGAAGAAGUUUAAUCUCCCCUCAGGCAACAGACUGAUGGAGCUCUUGAAGAGACAUGAGCAAUGUGAUCUCCUCAACAUUUACCACAAGAAUGGGAGGGAGGGCUCCCAUUGCUCACAAAGUACUGCAUAGAGCGGCUAAUGGUGAUGCUCUCACCAUCCGAAGGUCUUGGGUGAUGUUAUCACUUGCAACAACUUUAUGUCCGGGCACCGGCAAUAUGGUCCCCCUGGAGUGCCUAAAAAGCCUGAUAGAGAUGGACAAGGUUGCUGAGUUUGCCUGGGAUGAGCACAUUCUAAACUUUGCGAUGAAAGAAGUAAAGAAUUGCAAGGACAAGGCAGAGUUGCAGCCUUCCUCUCCAUUCUUGGUUGGCGGAUGCUUCCCUAUGCGAGCGGUUGUAUAUGUGGAUCUGAUUUUCCCUCCCCCCUGGCAUAGAUGAGCAUAAAUUGAACCUCUCUCUGCCGAGAGCUUGCUUUGUGUGCGAUAAGGAUUUUGCUCUUGUGUUGGUAUACAACAAGAACAAGCUUUGCUUGGGCAAAGCCUCAUUCGGGAUGCGGCCUCUCCUCCUUUUGUCAGACACACCAUACGCAACAUUGAAUUCCCAAGGUGGUGGUCCUGCUGGAAACAACUGUCGAAGAUACAGCGAGGGCUGAUGCAGAAA